UUAAUAUUAGUUAUGAAAUAUAUUUCAAGAAAUUUUAUAUCUAGUUUUUUAAGAGUUUAAGUAUAAUGAAUAAUUUUUAUAAAAAUUAAUAUGGUUUAGCUUAUUAAUUUUAUAUAUUGUAAUAAUUUUAUAACUUUAGUAAAUUUGAUAGUGUUUAUUUUAUAAAUUUAUAAUGGAGGGUAAUAUGAAUAUAAAUUUUUAUUUAUUAUUGAUUUAUUAAAAAAUUUAUUAAAAUUUUAAAGUUUUAUUUAUAAUGAAAAAAUUAGUAAAAAUUUAUUUAUAUUUUAAAAUAUUUAAUAAGAUAUAUAAUGUUAUAAUUAUUAUAAAAAAUGAAUUCGGCAAAAAUUAUUAUUUGACUGUUUAGCAAAAACAUUGUUUCAUGAAAAAAAUAUGAAAUAAUGUCUGUCCACUGAUAUAUUUGAAGGACUGCAGUAUAUUGACUGUAUAAAAGUAGCAUAAUCAUUAGCUUUUUAAUUUGGGGUUGGUAUGAAGGCGAAACGGAUAAAUUCUUUAUUUUUUAUAAAUAUUUAAAUUUUAUUUUUAAGUGAAAAAUCUUAAUUAUUUGAGAGGGACAAGAAGACCCUAAUAAGUUUUAUUUUUCUUUUAUUUAUGUUAUAGGAAAUAAAAAUUAGAUAAUAUUAAAUUAGAAAUUUGAUUGGGGCGAUUAGUUAUAAAACAUAAUUAAAUUUUAAUUUUU
rnacentral:rRNA from 1 species